AGUGAACGCUGGCGGUAGGCCUAACACAUGCAAGUCGAACGGCAGCACAGUAAGAGCUUGCUAUUACGGGUGGCGAGUGGCGGACGGGUGAGGAAUACAUCGGAAUCUACUUUUUCGUGGGGGAUAACGUCGGGAAACUUACGCUAAUACCGCAUACGACCUACGGGUGAAAGCAGGGGAUCUUCGGACCUUGCGCGAUUGAAUGAGCCGAUGUCGGAUUAGCUAGUUGGCGGGGUAAAGGCCCACCAAGGCGACGAUCCGUAGCUGGUCUGAGAGGAUGAUGAGCGACACUGGAACUGAGACACGGUCCAGACUCCGACGGGAGGCAGCAGUGGGGAAUAUUGGAAGAAGGGUGCAAGACUGAUCCAGCCAUACCGCGUGGGUGAAGAAGGGCUUCGGGUUGUAAAGCCCUUUUGUUGGGAAAGAAAAGCAGCAGGUAAAUCCCCCGCUGUUCUGACGGUACCCAAAGAAUAAGCACCGGCUAACUUCGUG
rnacentral:rRNA from 1 species